rnacentral:lncRNA from 1 species
GAAGAAGGUUCACUCACGGCAGCACCAGCGUAUCCUCGGGCAGGCUGUGGGCCUGUGCAUACUCUUCAUCGUGGAACAUGUGAAGUGUCUUCAGGACGGCAGCCAGGCCUCUGCCAGGUGUCAGGCUCUGGACUAGGGCAGGGGCCAGGCUUCGCUGGACCAGACAAGACUCUCACAGGCUGGAAGGGCUGGGCCACAGCGGCCCCUGAGACCCCAGGUAGCUUAGCUGGAUUAUUAACUCUGACCGUGGG